UACGGGGGGGGCAAGCGUUGUUCGGAAUUACUGGGCGUAAAGGGCUCGUAGGCGGCCAACUAAGUCAUACGUGAAAUCCCUCGGCUUAACCGGGGAACUGCGUCUGAUACUGGAUGGCUUGAGUUCGGGAGAGGGAUGCGGAAUUCCAGGUGUAGCGGUGAAAUGCGUAGAUAUCUGGAAGAACACCGGUGGCGAAGGCGGCAUCCUGGACCGAUACUGACGCUGAGGAGCGAAAGCCAGGGGAGCAAACGGG
rnacentral:rRNA from 1 species